rnacentral:misc_RNA from 1 species
UACAGAGGGCGCAAGCGUUAAUCGGAAUUACUGUGCGUAAAGCGCGCGUAGGUGGUUGGUUAAGUUGGAUGUGAAAGCCUCGGGCUCAACCUGGGAACUGCAUCCAAAACUGGUCGACUAGAGUAAAGUAGAGGGUGGUGGAAUUUCCUGUGUAGCGGUGAAAUGCGUAGAUAUAGGAAGGAACACCAGUGGCGAAGGCGACCACCUGGACUGAUACUGACACUGAGGUGCGAAAGCGUGGGGAGCAAACAGG